rnacentral:rRNA from 1 species
UUGACAACUCCAGAGAUGGAGCGUUCCCUUCGGGGACAAGGUGACAGGUGGUGCAUGGUUGUCGUCAGCUCGUGUCGUGAGAUGUUGGGUUAAGUCCCGNAACGAGCGCAACCCUUAUUACUAGUUGCCAGCAUUUAGUUGGGCACUCUAGUGAGACUGCCGGUGACAAACCGGAGGAAGGUGGGGAUGACGUCAAAUCAUCAUGCCCCUUAUGACCUGGGCUACACACGUGCUACAAUGGCGUAUACAACGAGUUGCCAACCCGCGAGGGUGAGCUAAUCUCUUAAAGUACGUCUCAGUUCGGAUUGUAGGCUGCAACUCGCCUACAUGAAGUCGGAAUCGCUAGUAAUCGCGGAUCAGCACGCCGCGGUGAAUACGUUCCCGGGUCUUGUACACACCGCCCGUCACACCAUGAGAGUUUGUAACACCCAAAGCCGGUGGGGUAACCUUUUAGGAGCCAGCCGUCUAAGGUGGGACAGAUGAUUAGGGUGAAGUCGUAACAAGGUAGGCGUAGCGAG